rnacentral:rRNA from 1 species
UGGGGAAUAUUGGUCAAUGGAGGAAACUCUGAACCAGCAACGCCGCGUGAGUGAUGAAGGUCUUCGGAUUGUAAAGCUCUGCCGAAAGGGACGAAAAAAAUGACGGUACCUUUCAAGCAAGCCACGGCAAACUACGUGCCAGCAGCCGCGGUAAUACGUAGGUGGCAAGCGUUGUCCGGAAUGACUGGGCGUAAAGAGUGCGUAGGCGGCUUGAUAAGUUAGAAGUGUAAUCCCGAGGCUCAACUUCGGUGCUACUUCUAAAACUGUCGAGCUUAGAGUGCGGAAGAGGUAAGUGGAAUUCCUAGUGUAGCGGUGGAAUGCGUAGAUAUUAGGAGGAACACCAGAGGCGAAGGCGACUUACUGGUCCGUUACUGACGCUGAGGCACGAAAGCGUGGGGAGCAAACA